GGCGCUAGUGUCAGCAGCUGAAGGAAAUAUUCCUUAAACGAGGGUGAAGUUAGUGAACUUACUUGUCUGAGAUUGCUAAAUGUGUGGAUCAUCAUAGCAGGUUGCUUCUUCUGCUAACCGGGGAAGACGACCUUGAGGAUAAGGCUCCACCUGAAGCUGGUGCUCUGUGAAGAUGCUGGAGGCACUCAACGGGCACCCAGACUAAACCCCACAAGGUACCUCACAAAGUCCACAGGCACAUUGCUGAAGAACCUGUGGUGAAGAGCCCUCGGAGGACGACAUAGAGUAACCGCACGACACAGAACGCCCAGUGUGUGUGUUAGCUGAAUACCCAGCAGCUACCAGGGAUCGGUAGCUGCAUACCAGCUGGUUGUAUUGGACGAUGUCGUUAAUUCGGCAGGAUUAAACUGUGCGGGUCCGAGCCCUGGGAACUAGGCCCAAACUCCCUCGCCGUGUGUCGGACUACAACCGACCUUAACAGCUUUCUUCAUUUGUUGUUACACCCUGGGGCACUCCUUACAGUUAUAUGGGCCAAAGUAUUAUUGUUGUAUAUGAUUAGUGAUAAUUAGCAGACAUAUAGUUAUCCCAGGUUGAGUAUUGAACCCAUGAAUGUUGGUGUUACCGGUGGUACUGUUGUAAAAGGAGUUGAGUCCACCAACCAGGUGUACUACCACUGUACUCUAGCUAAAGUGCCAUGUUGUUCAUUCCGAACUAACAGGAUGUGUUUGAUAAUAUCUUAAUUUUGGAUCCUGUCGAGUGCGUUAUGUAAUCAUCUGUAUUGACAAUGAAGUAAUAUCAUGAGUGUACAAUGUUGUAAUCAAGAAAUGGUCUAUUUUGCUAUUAAUUUAAAGUAAGACCUAAGCGGUCCGGUCUGAUCUGAGUGUAAUUAAUUAACAUCUUAUUUACUCCAUA